ensembl:lncRNA
GGAGACAGAAGCCUGCUCUCGCUCCCCUGCCAUAAUUUCCUAUCAGCCCAUUCAGACAACAUCACCAACUGCUCCGUGUGUGCGCGCGCCUGUGUGUGUGUGAGUGCGCCGGUACAGGAGAAGAGCAGAGCAAGAGAGAGAGAGAGAGAGAGAGAGCCGGGCGGGAGCCAGAGCGGGCGAGCGAGACAGAGACACACUCACUGACAGAGCGAGAGCGUGCACGAGAGAGAGAGAGAGACAGAGAGAGAGAGAGCAAAAAGGGGGAGGCACUGUGUUCGUUCAGCUACCCACACCUCCCUCCGCCCUCCUCCUCCCCUCCCUCCAACUACAAGGAAGGCGGGGCCAGACCCCAGGCUGCCAAUCAAAUCGGCUUGUGGCAGCCGGCAUUAUCUCAGCAACAAACUAUUGACAUAUAACAUGUCAAGGAGUUUAGUGCAUGAUUGAAGGAAGCCCUUUUUUUUUUGGGUUGGCUGGUUUUUAAUCUAGUUACUUUUUGUCUGCUGCAGCGCGUUUCUCCUCUCCCCGACCGACUCGAAUGACUUUCUAUGAGAGUUGAGUCAUAUUAUGAAAGUUACAUGUCUGAGAGGAUUUAACCUCGACUUCCCUGAAUAUGACCCAGUGUCUGCCAUCAGCACAGCCCCCCUCCCGACCCCCAGUCUCUGUGGACCCGCC